GGUUUAGCAGAAGGGGUUACACAAAGGGUUUUGGGUUCAGCAGAAGGGGGCACACGAAGUGUUUGGGGUUUGCACAAGGGGUGCACAGAGGUGAAGGCGUUUGCCCAGGAAGGGUGCAGGCUGUGCAUGGGGCAGUGAAGGGGGGUGCACGGGGAGUGCUCGGGAUGCUGUUGGGGUGCUCAGGGGUGCAGGGAGGUGCCCAGAGGGGUGCAGUGCCCUCCAAGGAUCCACACACUGGGAUUGGGGUGCAGGAUACAGCUGGUGGAAAUCUGGGGUUCUGAAGCACAUGAGGGAGCAUCAGCCCCUGAGAGCGGCUGGAGAAUCCCUCGAUGGAGAAUCCCAGAUCCUGGUGUGACCCAAGGGCAGCACUCUGGGAAGCAGAGCACGCAGACACGAGCCUUUGCACAGGGGCUGCAAGGGGAUGGGAUCUGCGUGUGCAGCCCUUCAUGGAAUCAUGGAAUCAUGGAAUGGUUUGGGCUGAAAGGGACCUUAAAGCUCAUCCAGUUCCAACCCCCUGCCAUGAGCAAGGACACCUUCCACUAGCCCAGGCUGUUAAAAAUCAUGCCCAGACUUCUGCAUGCAGGACUGAGAAUCAUUUUAGAUUCCCUGAAGCCUGACUCAUGGAGUGCUGCAGGUUCAGCGUGAAUCCUGGAGGGUUUUGCAUCUGGGAUGAUAAAUCCUGAUGGAGCUGCCUCUUGUAGCUGCCCUGGGCUCUUCCACAUCUUAAUAAUAGUCCUGAUAAUAGGGGAGAAAAAGGAUGUGAAAUAAAGAUUAUGAAAAAGUCAAUAGUGACCUGAAGGCAGUUGAGUCUCAUGGAAUUCCAGAAUGGUUUGGGUUGGAAAGGACUCUUAUGGAUCAUCCAGUUCCAUCCCAAGCCAUGGGCAGAAACACCUUCCACUGGACCAGUUAUUAUUUUAUAUCUUAUUGACCUUUAUUUUAUCUUGUUUCAUUUAAUUUAGUUCUGUUUAAUUUCAUUUAUUUUUAUUUCAUUCAAUUUCAUUUCAUUUCAUUUUGCUUUAUUUCAUUUUAUAUGAAGGAGGGUGCAGAACACAGCCCCAGAGCAAUACACACCUCUCAGGGAACCCCAACAGAGAUGAGGCAUCAAGGCUGGAAACCCCAAGAGCCAAAUUCCACCUGGUGGUGACAAGCCACAGCUGAAAACAGCAGCUUAUUCCCUCAUCCAGAAGAAAAGUAAAAGGAAAAUAAAGAAGAAUUUAGCCCUAAAAGCAAAAUUUGGAGAGGAACUUCAGGGAGCAGAGCUCCCUUGAUUCCCAUCCUCAAGUGAAGGCAACUCGUUGGAUCCCGGCUCCCAAGCAGCUGCUGCUCAUUCUUCACAUCUGAAUUUAAUCCCUGCAGGGGUUUAAACCUUUUCAAGCACAAAACCAUGACGUGUUGGGGGGUUCCCGGCUGCCAGGACGCGCUUCCGAGCGGGAUCCGGCGGGCUGGAACCUGCGCUGGGCCCGUGAUUAACGCACCAGGCAGCUCCGGCUGCCGGAGCCUUGGCACAGCGGCUUCUCCAGCCGCGGAUUUUGCCCGCUGAGCUGGCAGGAGCGCUGCUGGCAGAAGGGUUUGCUCCCUGGUAUUGUGGAUUUUGUCCCCUGGCCUGGCAGGAGCUCUCUGGGCAGAAGGGUUUGCUCCAUGGUACUGUGGAUUUUGCCCGCUGAGCUGGCAGGAGCACUCUGGGCAGAAGGAUUUCCUCCCUGGUACCGCGGAUUUUGCCCGCUGAGCUGGCAGGAGCGCUCCUGGCAGAAGGGUUUGCUCCCUGGUACCAUGGAUUUUACCCACUGACCUGGCAGGAGCGCUCCUGGCAGAAGGAUUUGCUCCCUGGUAUUGUGGAUUUUGCCCACUGAGCUGGCAGGAGCACUCCUGGCAGAAGGGUUUGCUCCCUGGGAUUGUGGAUUUUGCCCCCUGGGCUGGCAGGAGCACUGCUGGCAGAAGGAUUUGCUCACCAGUGGAGACCGUGGAGGGAGGGGGCUGCCAGCACAGCAGCUUCCUCUGGGGAAGUCAGCUUUUUAUAUGAAAUGUAUGCUAUUUAAUUGUAGCAAAUAAGAAUGUUUAGGAAUGUCAUAGAAUCCCAGAGUGGCUUAGUUGGAAAGAUCCUUAAAAAAAAAAUCUCAUUCCAUCCCUGCAGUGGGUAGGGACAUCUCCUACUGCCCCAGCUUGCUCCAAGCCCCAGUGUCCAGCCUCACCUUGGACACUUCCAGGGAUCCACAACUUCUGUGGGCAUCCUGUGCCAGGACCUCCCCACCCUCACAGCCAGGAAUUCCUUCCCAAUAUCCCAUCCAUUUCCUCUGUCAGUAGAAAGCCAUUCCCCUUUGUCCUAUCCCUCCAUCCCUUGUCCAAAGUCCCUCCCCAGCUCUCUUGUAUAGGAAUAUUUAUUUUGUAUUGUGUGUGGAUAUAUAUGAAUGUAUAAGAAUUUAUUUUAUAUUUAAAUGAAUAUAUAAGUAAUAAAAAGCUUAGUGGAUAAAAUAAUUGAG